rnacentral:tRNA from 1 species
GUACCUUUAGCUCAGUUGGUUAGAGCAGACGGCUCAUAACCGUCCGGUCGUAGGUUCGAUUCCUACAGGGUAUA